UCUAUAGCCCUAGAUUUAUCCCGACCUCUCUCUUGCUGAAACUUUAUCUCUCUCUCUCUCUAUCUCUUUGUAAUCUAACAUGUACGCCUCUCUCUUAUCUUCUCCAUCUUUUCCACUUAAGAUGAAACUGAAACUACCAAAACCUAACCUUGAAGCUACCAAUCCAUCACCCCGAGUACACCACCACUACCAUCUUCUUCUUCUAUAUCUCCUUUCAGUCACCAUCAACACACGACCACCGACAACUUAAUAAUACCCAAAAACCCUAAACCCAAAUCUCAUCUUUAAAGUUUCAGAUUCUCGACAAUACCAAAAGAAAGAAAAAAAACUUCCACAUUUCCUUCCCAACCCUAGAUUUCAAAUGGACAGAAGUUUCGUUUUUCUCUUUCUGUCUAUGAAAAAUUCUAGGGCGUGCUUUUUCUUAAUGGCAGAGAUUGCAAUAACUAAUACAGACACUUCAUCUCGAUUGCCGAGGAGAGAGAAGAGAUAACUAAAGUUUCAGUUGAAUCUGAUGAUGUUUCAAUUGGAAGAAGAAACUCCAGUUGGAUCUAAUGAUAUUGGUUCGAAUUAUGAUUUUGAAGAAAUUGGACCAGUAAUUAAAGGAAAUGUAUUCCUAAGGUUCCAGGAGUUUAUAAAGUUGUUGAUCUGAGUUUGAUUGUUGUGUAUCAUAGCUGUUGAACCAAGAGUCCAUGAUAAUGGAGUUUACACAGGGUUGAGGAGUUCAGGAAAUUGGCGAGAUCAUGUCGACAUGGAAAAGCACUUGCAUGGCAGGUGACAAUUACAAAACUCUGACCAUAGCAGAUGUGGCGAGGAAGAGCGUCCAUUAAAUGAGUUACUCAUCUUGCAGCUCGGAUCCGAGAACCCUAACCGCCGUUACAACAUUUCUUUAUGUAAGAUUUUUGGUAGUAGGAGCAGAGACUGAAUUGGUAUGAUAUGCUGUAAAUGAAACUAGAUUUAUUCAACUUUUGUUUUGAAUUUUCCAGAAAACUAACAACACUUUCCGAUUUUUGCAACCUAAAACUGAUUUUGCAACCAUACAUAAAACUGAUUUUGCAACCUUUUCGAUUUUUAUGAUUCACAAAGUAAUUUGCAAAAAAAGUAUACAUUUUUAUUAGCUUCUAAGGUCCCCAUGGAUGUAGAUGUAUGUGUGUUGUCUACUUAGAUUGGAGUGGCCGACUUUCUAUACACACAUUAGCAAAUGAUGUAUCGAUGUUGCAAGUUUUGGAUGAAUAUGCCAAUGACUUUUGAACUAAUAGAGGAUCUCUCUUUUGCAUGUUUUUGAUAUACAACUGAUACUCUUGGGGUUAUCUACACUAGCUUGAACUCACCACAACAGCUAGCAGAAUGAAUUCCACAUGGUGGUGAUCCUUGCGGAGGUACUGGCUCGUCUGUUACUAAUUUGUACUUGUGUUUCGCAUUGUAGGAGUUCUUGGAUACACUCAAUGGAUCCUCUUCAUGGAAGACAUUGUGACUUGCAAAUUCACUUACUUGAAUUCCCUGGAUAUGGUGCAUAACCUACAAAUCCCUUAGUUGUUUUUCCCUUAGGAAAAACAUUGUCAGUGUAUAUUUAGUUAAGGCUAAGGAUCUGUAAGUGAUUCAUUACUUGAAUUUAUGACAACAGGUGUAUCUGAAUGAUUAGUUUUUGAUUUGUAUCCUGAACACCAAAUUAAAGUCAUCAGUAUACUAUCAAUCAGAGUAUUCCCUUCCUUGUGCAUGCACAAUAUGUAAGUCAAUUUUCCCUUCCCUUAUUUUCUCGGGUGGAAGUUUCUGAACCAAUGAUCAUUUUUUGAUUAGGUGUAAAAUUCUGCACCGUUUAUAAUGUUCAACAGUUCCAAUAUAAUCGACUAGUAUAGAUCUUAACCUUUCUAGAUGAGAUACGGUCAUCCUUGGUGCUCAUUGUUGUUGUUAUUGCUGUUGUAGAGAACACUCGAGCAUCCUACCGCGAUGUAUCUUUUAUUUUUUCCAGUGUCAUUGACUAGUAGUAUUGUGGCCAUGUAUUUGCAGAUGUGCUUUAAAUAAAGUAUCCUUUGUGUUGGAGCCAUUUUUUCAGGUUUCAAGUGAAAGCUUACUUCUUCACAAAGGAGGAUGAAACUGUUGCUGCCCUUUUUUCAGGUUUCAAGUGGAAGCUUACGUCUUCACAAAUGAGGAUGAAACUGUUGCUAGUAUUGCUCUUGCGGACAUGCUAUUCAAAGAAUUCAUUCUAUACUAGUGUUGUUUACCGAUUUGUUUUUGUUAUGUUUAUACAAUUGAAGUUAGUGAGUGUGUUUUCAAAUUUUUGAUAUGUUAAACUGGGGUAAUACUUAAAUGUUGAAGUUUUAAAUGGAAUCCACCUUUUAAUAUAAACGUUAAC